rnacentral:lncRNA from 1 species
CUGGUGAUAUUUGUUGUAUGAUGUUUCUGGAAGUCGAGGCAGUGGUGCGGCAGAGGGAGGGUUUCGAUCCCAAUUAUCGGUGCGGAAGAGAGAUCUGGGAAUGGCGAAGCCGCUGGGGCCGACGGGGGAGUUCUUCCGGCGGAGGGACGAGUGGAGGAAGCACCCGAUGCUCACCAACAACCUGCGCCGCGCCACUCCGGGCCUCGGUAUCGCCCUCGUCGCCUUCGGCGUCUACCUCGCCGGCGAGGCCGCCUACAACUACUUCCACCGCCCUGAUGCCCACUCCACCACCCACCACUGACGGGUAAUGCGACAUCGGCCCCCUCUUAAGGUUUUCCUUCUCUUCCUAUGAAGAUCCUUUAUCUGAACUCUGGAUUUUUGGGAAAUUGUAUAGUAUUUAUUUUAGGUAGAUUCUUCAUGGUCUUUUUGGGGAUUUGUUUUAAAGUUGAUGGAUUAGGGAUUUUGGUGUCCGAUAACAUUAUUUCGUGAGAUGACUCAUUAUCUGGCUUGUCUGUCGAUAACAUUUAUCCAAAGCUAGUCAUCGCUUCCCUUAGGAUCUAUAUGUUUAAUUUUCUGAAACAUGUUGAUUCCUCCAACUGUUCUUGUGAUAAAAUUUCCCAGUGAGUCUUCCAACUCUUUCUACGUUUCAAUGCAUUGGUUUGUUCUGUUGGCAUCUUCGAAGGGUAGGGCUUGAAAGCAUCACAUUGUGAUGAGACUUUGCACAAUUAUCAUUGGAUGACCGCUUGUCCUGCCAAGUUGCAACAACCAUUUGCAUCUUUGGACAAUGAUUUUGAUUCCCUUCGUACAGUGAUUAUAAUAUACUUGCUUGCAAAGGUAAUUCUAUAAUAUAACACUGAACUUUACCUGCUGAAGAUACAAAAAUGAACAAUAAUAUGUUGGAUUCUUACCAUCCCAAUACUCAACAGAACUUUUAACUAAUAUUUUGUCUUUAUUCUUGGUUUAUGCUUAUUCUCCCCUUAUCUACUUUUGUUGACCAACAUAAGGAAGGCCUUACUUGAUGAGUGUAACCUCGUGUCAAGUUCCCAAUCUAUAUCCUUUACAUUUAGUUGCUACACGAAUGCUCUUUACUAAAUUAUUCAUCUUUCUUUAAGGCCCUCUAGUCUUUUAGGUUAUCUAGUAAUUGUUGCCCAUGUUUGAGUCUGAGACUCCGUACGUAGAAUGACUGGUAACAGAAAGGAAGAAAGGUUUCAGUCACUGAUCAUGACCAUCAACUACUAAUUAUAUUCUGAAUCCUCUAAAAGCUACAGAUGAAGUUGUUAGGAACUAUUUUACUGAUGCACUAACAGUUAAGCUGAUCUUGGCACUAUAUUGAUUCUGGCAUGUAAAGAAAGAGGCUGUUGAUAACAUUUAAGAAGCAAAAAAAAAAUUAAGAAGCUCUUGCUCAUCUGUGCAUUUCUUGGGGAAAUUUUUUCUCCUGUAGGCCAAUUUGAUGGUCUAGCAAAACAUCUCCAUGUUAGAAGUUGUACAGUGUCCUACAUUCUUAUUCUAAUUACAUAUAAUUCUGAUAUGAUUUGUAGAUACAUAUAGGCUCGUUGAACAUUAAUUUUGAAAUUUGCAUAGAUCACUUCAUCAUACUUAAGGUUUAGUCUGACAUGUCCUAAAAAUCAAUACAUCUCUGCAGGCUUACUGCACAUCCACCAAUUUAAUCUGAAGAAAAUUAAUUGUCCUUGUAUUGGCUUGUAAACAAAAUAUUCACUUUACCAAUAAGGUUGACUCUCCAUUGCCUAUUAAAUUGGAAAUCGAUGAUUUGGUAGUAAUUUUGUUGGUAUCUUAAAUUCAAAUUCAAUAAUCUUAAUGCCCGUUAGUUCACAAUUUACUACCCUUUUUAUUACUCAUUCAUCCUUCCCUUUUUUCUUGUUUGUAUUUCGAUGCUGCUACCUCCUCCUUUUCUCAUCCUCACUUUGUCUUAUUCUUCACUUCCAUUUUAAACUUAUAGUAAGUCAUUGAUAGCUAAACUUUUUACUAAAACUUGGAUAUAUGAAUUUUGUUAACACAGGUUCCAUUUGCUUUAGAGUUCAUUUUUAGCAAAAUCAUCAAAGCUGAAAUUGAUUGGUCUAAGCAAUGCCGUGUCUUCAUAUAGGUAUGUCAACAUGCUAGAAGAAGUUUAAGAGACUAUAUGCCUUAUAAAAUUAUAGAUUAUAGUCAAAAGCAUUUGCUAUUUAAUGAAGUUGUUAUUGAAGAAGAAUAAAUAGGUCAUCUUACAUAAAAAAAGGCUAUUUUGGAUGUAUGUUUUAUUUUCCCUAUGUUAUAAAAAAAAGGGAUGAAGUAAACAACUAAUACAGAUAAGUUAGUGUCAGUGGCAUAACCAGGAUAUCUAUUAAGGAGUUAGGGUAUGACGGACAUGAUAACCAAGUGUACUGAUUUUGAUAAAAUUGUAGAAAAGUAACUAGUUUAAAAAACUCUGAAGUUUUAAGCAUUACCAUAAACCAAUGCAAGUUCAAUUCAGCUGGGACAUGGGAUUGACUUUAUCUCAUAAAAAAUCCAAAACAUUCCGAUAACUUUUGGACUUUGAUAAUAUAUACUUGCAACCAUGAAUAGUGCAUUGAUUAUCUGAUUCUCUUAGACAUCUUUAAGAGUUGGGAAGUAGAAUUCAUGCUUCAUGCCCUCCAUAUUUUUAUUCUUAUACUAGGUUUGGAAUUAGAGGGGAAACAAGUGUCAUGAAUGUGGUUUGCAUGAUUUCGACUUGUGCAAUAGGUUGAAGAUAGAGGAGGCCACGUAUUAUGGGACAAGGGAACCAAUCUCUUGCAUGCGUGAAAUUGUAUAAAUUUCAAGAAGUUGGGGCAAUUUCAAUCCUUACUCCGAGCUUAUGAAAUGUAUAUAGUUCCCUACUUGAAUGGUGUGAUGGAUUAGUAAAGCAUAGUUAUGCAUGCAUGCUAAGAAGCAUCAUUAACACCAAAUAGAAUAUAAUUUCUCAUUUUGAAUGACAGAUGAUGGGUCAGAAAGGUGACAGAGAAAAAAGAUAUGCUAGAAGAAAAUUUAUUUUUCAGAAGGAUCAGAGGAGAAAGGAGAAGAAACAUGGACAACUGAGACAUUCCAGAAGAAGGAUCAUAGGAGAAAAGAGAUGGCCAGUUGGUCACUUAGAUGUAUUUUACAUUUUUUUCCCGAUAAUCUUGCAUUACUCAUAAACUACAAGUAACAUCUAAAGACAAAAUAAGUGACAAAAUAAUUAGUUAACGGUCUCCCAAAUCUACUGACCAUCAGAACAAUCAUUUCUCUGAAAUCUGAAAUCAGGAAAAGUUUGGUUGCAUUUCUUAUCAAAUGCAAAACUAAUAUUAGCAUUGGUUUGCAGCCAUUAAUUUACUAAAUAAAUCAUAACCAUGCCAUACUGACCUUUCAAGAAUAGAUUAAAAGGGGCUAAGAAUUUUAAAAAGUUAGAAUAGGUUACUUCAACCCAAAUGACUAGAUCAUCAGUCUAUUACUGACUCAUUUGGAUAUGAUCCAAAAAAAAUCCAGUAUGACUCUGUCAUCUUGAUCAAAUUGCACAGAAGUCACUCUGUCAAAAGCAUUCUCCCAGUAUAUGAAAUAGCUAAGUUGGCCUAACUAUGUGGAUUGGCUGUGUGGAGUUUUCCCUUUGCAUCCUUGGUGACCGAGGUUUAAGUCACAAGGGUAGCUUUUCUACUUGCAGCAGCAAGUUUAUCUACACUAAUUCUCCCCAGAUAUGGCCUUGGUUGGAACCUCAUAUAUUGGUCCUCUAUUUUAUACAGAGAACUUUUUCCAUCGUCAAGUAUAAUAAAGAUUUCUUGGCCGUGUUAUUUCUCUUUGAGGUGCUGAUUUAAAUUAAUUUAUCUCAUCUAAAUGUAGCAUCUAUAAGUCUUCUUUGAACACUUUACAUUCAUACCAAUUGAAAUAUUUUUUAAAAAUUUAUCUUCUAUCAAAAUUGCAUUGAGUUGUUCAUGAGCACCACAUUUUUUAUCAAAAUGAUAGUCUUAGCAUCGCUUGGUUAUAUUUGAUCUGUACUUUUUUAUUUUUUUAGAUUCUCAUGCAAACAUGCUCUCUUACACAGACACAUGCCUUGCUUUAUGCUUUGCCUAUACUGCCAAAAAUCUUGGUGCCAUAUGCACCUUGGAUGCCGUAGAAGCUUUCAUUAUUCACUAUCUACCUUUUUUUGUUUUUUCAAAUUGGAAUUCAUGAAGUUCCAAGAGUGUGGCAUCGGUUGAAGGUUCAUCAUCAUUUUUGUUCUUCAUAAGGUUGCAAGUGUGGGUUUAAAAGCAUGAGAUACUUGCCUCCUUAAGGGAAGCUUACUCAUCCUGCAUGUCUGACAUCCUGGUUGUCUGUGUUACUCCAUAUACGCUAUUUCAUUGUUUUCCUUUUUCAUUCUGCUUACGUAUUUUUUUGAUUUUUUCUUUUCUUUUCCUUGUAUAUUGGAAUUUGUUUGAACUAUGUGAACAAACCUGACAUUGCUGAACCUAGUUAAUUUUAGACUGCAUUGUGCAGGUUUGCUGCAUGACAUGAUGCUGUCAUCUACUAGUAUGUUGUUAGGAUCAGCCCUCACUUUUCAUUUAUUUUUCCAAUUCCGAGAGGCCUACAAUAAGAGAGGCUGAAAUCAUUUCCUUUUACCCUAAAGGUUAUACGUACAUCAUUUGCUAUUGCUCUUUUUAUCUUAUUUGUUGAAUUUUACAUGCAUCAAUUUAAAGUGUCCUUCUCAUGUUUAUAUGUUUUUCAAGAUAAUGCUUGACCUUCGAGUCUCUUUUCUCGAAAGCCUUCUUUUUCACUUACAGAUGAUUGUAACUUUGCAGGUCUAUGGUGUGUAAUAAUCCGAAUAAACAAGUGAUGGAGCAAAUGGCCAUUUUCUUAGAUGGUCUUGGAUAUCCAAGUUGAAGUGCUUUGAUCCUUGUACGUAUUUUCUGACAUGUUCUGCCCUUCCCCCUCUCAGAAAACAUGAAACUUGUUAAGCAAUCUGGAUUUGGACCUGUGUCACAUGCUUUGCUUCUGUGUUCAGCAAGUUCAUCCUGAAACUUAUGGAACAGGAAAUGCUUCAUGAUGAGUUCGCAUGUUUUUGUUUUAUAGUCCGAGUUGCCCACAAUGACCAACUCGUGACCCCUAGGCAGGAAGGAAGCCUUUGACAAUUUGUUUUCAGUGUUUCUGCAACCAAAAAUCCACAUCCUCUAUACCAAAAACUUGGUGUUUUCUCAGUGAACUGUGAUUUAAAGGUGGGAGGGAGUGCAUGUGAACCCAUUGGCUCCUUGAAAGUUGGCCGGAAGAGGCCUGCACACCCCAAUCGAUAUCCAUUAGUCCUAUCAAGGAUCGAUACCAACCAAACCUUUUAUUAUUAUUGUUAGUGAUAUUGAGCGGUUCAUGUCAGUUUGUUAUUCCGUAUGAUAGUUGAAAUUGGUUCUUAACAGCCAUUCUUGUUGCCUUUCUCAUCCUCGUUCCUUCUCUUGUUUUUAUCACUGAUUUAUUUUUUUUUGUUCGUCAAGUUUUAUAAAUCAAAUGAAGAAACAUCCAUUUUAAAUGAUCUUAUAUAUAUAUAUAUAUAUAUAUAUAUAUAUAUAGUAAUCCAAGACUUGUCUGAUGGAUGUCAGCUAUGCUACAAAAACAUGCCAUAAAUACAUCUUAUCCUCAUCUCUAGUGGGUGGAUUUGUGACCACAUUAUCACCUGUGAAGUCUUUUGAUCAUUGCACGAUUAUUUGUGUGAAGUUGCGUAGUAGCGGUAUGGAAGGAUAAGGAAACCGAGUGUUAUUGCAAGCCAUGCGGCAUCAGGAAAAAGGGCUCGAAGCACAAGGAUGGGGAUGGGAGAUGGCACACGUUGAUGAUACGUUGCAUCAACCAUUACCAUCAAGCUCUCUGUGGUCACAUCUGCUACUGAUACGUUGCAUCAACCAUCAACUUCUCUGGUCACAUCGCACCAAGCUUUUGAAUCAUGGAGAAUCCUCCUCACAUCAUGCGGUGACCUCAGUUGUCAAAACAGAUUGAGUUAAUUAAGGAAAUGUAAUUUUGAUGUUGAACAAGAUUGAGAAGAUAAUUUUGUGUAUUACUAUUAGUGUAUACUUAUGUAUAUAUCUUUAACAGAAACUGUCAUUAUCAUUUGUUAUGAUAGCUUAACUCAGUAUAUUUAAAAUAAAAAGUGUUUAAUAAAAUGUAAUUAUUUUUGAGUUGAUUUUUACUUUGGCCAGUAAAACAAAUGACUUACUUGAACUCCUCUCUUUUACUAUUUUUGUUUAAAUUUGUUCCCAUAUUAUUUCAUGAGUUUUGAUAGAGCAGCGCAUAUGAAGCCGAGCAACGAGGGCCGAUUGAGCAACCCAGUGGUAGGUCAAUCCAAGUUCUUGAGCCACGGUCUCCUCUCUCAUGGCGAGAGAUCGUGAAGACGAAGAGAUUCAACGAUGACCCAUGGGAAAAGUGGAAGCAUUUCAAUGCAUUAUUAUAUUAUAUGGUCCAUCUGCUACUGAGAGAGAGAGAGAGAGAGAGAGACUCAGCAGGUAAUUCGGGAGGACCCUCUCUUCUCUCUUCCCCACGCACACAAACACACACCGAACAAACAAGCAGGCAAGCAAAGCAAGUAAAAGGGCAGGGCGAUGGCGACAGGACGUGGGUCGGGAGGUGGAAGAUGCCCCUCUCCCCACGCCACAAAUGCACACGUAGCUACAGCAUUCAGCAGCAGGAGGAGGAGGAGGAGGAGGACGAGCGCGCGUCAGAUUCAAUGAAGGUUUUGUCGCGUAGCGACCAUAGCCCUCCUCGGUCUCCUGGACGUGGCCGCUUUGCAUGCGCCGCCUCGGAUCGCCCGCUCCUCUGGCCCCACUCCACCCGCCUCUCUCUCUCUCUCUCUCUCUCUCCCUCUCUAAAUGCUGUCCCUCAAAGCUGCAUCGUCUAUCUUUCCUCUUUUAAUUGCUCAUCACUGUGAUCCAAGCCCAAUCCUGCAGCAUUGUGUCGACUGAUACCCAUUGCCACCAAAAGAAAUCCAGAUUGAUGCCGUGUGUUUAUUUAGGUGGUGAUUGAUAGAUGCCAUGCAGGAGAGAACAGAUGCAAAAGGAAUCGAGCGUGCAUGCUUGAUGUAAAGAAAGAGGAAGCAUAUGUGGUGGGGAUGCGAUCCCCCCCCAUACAUGCUGUUUGCAUCUUGAAAGGGGCUCAUGUCAACCUUCAUUGCUCUCUCUCUCUCUCUCUCUCUCUUAUGCCGGCCUAAGUAAACUCUCUUUUCGCUGGUCUCAACGCAUGCGCUGCAAAGACCCAACCCCUCCUUCCCUCCCUCUUUUCCAAGUUAUACAUCCGAGAGCAAAAAGCCGAAAAAGAAAAGGGAUCAAAUGUGAUGCUUACAGCUCCUAAGACACCAUCAUGAUCAUGCUUUGUACGUACUAGUAGUCGCUCCUUAAGCCAUGGAAUGAGUGCAGCUUGCAGCGUGUGCAACCCAUCUUGCUUGCUAAAAGAAAAGCUGAGGUUGACAACCUCUAGCUUCCACCCCACAGUGGCACUCAGUUUGCGUUUGAGCAUAGGGAAAUCAGUGCUUCUUAUCAUGGCCAAUCAUUUUUCUCUUCUUACCUUCUUACAAUGUCACAAAAAAUUCAGCAACCUGAGAUGACCUGAACAGUUUGCAUUCGACUGAAGCGAAAGAAGUGGAUUUUCUCUUCUAUCUUACAGUCUCACAAAGCAGUCGGCAAUGCUAAUCCAUCAAGAUGAACUCAGUUUGGAUUCAACAUGACCAUACUUUUUGUCUUCUAUCUCUCCUUAUAAUCUCACAAAACAGUCGGCAAUCCGACCAUAUGAAAAGAACCAAGUGCUUCUCAUCCUAAUUAUUUUCUCUUCUAUCUUCUUAUAAUCUCGCAAAACAGUCAGCAAUCUGAGAUGCUAAUCCUUUGACACAAAGUUUAUGCUCGUGGUCCUUCGAAUCUUAUCACUUCGGGAGCACAUACCACCUUUGCCGACCCACGACAAAUCUUCAAAGCUGAUGGCAAUUCUCAUCAUCAUCAUUCUUAUUCUUCUUCUUCUUCUUUUCCAAAACACUUUUCCUAGAAUCACAAAAAGAAGCAGUGCAAUUGCAUCAAAGAGAAAACCAAAAACAAAGCCAGCGAUGGCAUCUUGCACUAUGCUUCUUGAGAGAUUUGAGUGAAGAAAACAAAAGCAUUAAGCUCGCACUUGCUUCUGUUUGGUGGAAAUAAUUUGAUGUAUUAUGUUACAGUAUAACAUUUAUAUAUUAUGACCUUCUACUAGAAUUUACUUGCUCCUAUCAUCUUCUUGAAUGCAUUCACUUCAUGAAAAGUUAUGAUCUCUCUCAAUUUUUUACUGGCAAAACAAUUGUAGACAACCAUAAAUGUUUUUACUGUUUCAUAACAUAUAAUAUUGAAGAUAAAUUUUAGGUUUGAAAUUUCAUAAUGCAGACAAAAUAAGUAAAUAAAUAAUACAUUCUAAAUAUGCUUUUUUGUGUCUGUGUGUGUGUGUAGAUUGACAUGUUGCGAUUCUUCUAUCUAAGUUGAUCAGCACCCAAUGGUUUAAGGUCAAUCCAUGUUUAGACUCCUUCCUUUGGUGUGCCACUUCUCAAGUCAAGAUCAAAAGGCAACCCAACCUGUUCAUCUGCCAUCCUCUUGUUUUGUCUCAUGGAGUGGCCAACUUUUACAGAGAAGAUUGCUUAUUUUAGUGCAUAAUUGUGUGCCACUUGAAGUGAAAGAGACUACUCAGAAGACCUACUACUGAGCUCUGACAUUUUCCAGUUGGUUUCUAGAGGAUAGGACUUGUUUCUGAAUUCUAAUAUUAUUUGUUUACUGAAUCAUAAAGGAGAGCAGAAUAAAAAAUUGCAUUUGCAUUUGAAUAUGUUCUUCUUUAUUCCUCAGCUCACACAAAAUAACUCUGCUGACUAGCUUUAUCCUACAGACAGCACUAGAAAAUAGUUUCGGAGUGGAAGGAAAGGUAUGAGUGCAUAGUUUUGAGGAUAUGCCAUGGACUUGGAAAAAUGAAGCCUCUCCUGUGUGCAGAUGAAGUGCAAACAGUUUUAUAACGCACAGGAAGAGUCAUACAACUUGAUCCUUUCUUUUGCAUUUAGACUGGAUAGGAUGGAAAUCUGAUCAUUACUUUUGAUUAAUCAAUACAUGGAGUCUGAUCAAUGUUUACAAGUUAAAUUGAAUAGGAAUCGAUCCACUUUUAGAGAAAAUUAAAAUUUUUAUCAUGUAAAAUCAAAUAUACUCUCACAUAAUUUAUACUUUUUUACUUGUCCUUUCUAUAAUACACAUUCUUUUCGACAACCUCAAAAGAAACUUAAGAGCGCUAAAAAUAUUUCUUACAUUUUUUAUCUCUCUCUAUCAAGUCUAAAGAUAUAUAGAAGAAUAAAAUCUUACUUUUUAAGAUUUCGUUCUUUCGAUAAGNNNNNNNNNNNNNNNNNNNNNNNNNNNNNNNNNNNNNNNNNNNNNNNNNNNNNNNNNNNNNNNNNNNNNNNNNNNNNNNNNNNNNNNNNNNNNNNNNNNNNNNNNNNNNNNNNNNNNNNNNNNNNNNNNNNNNNNNNNNNNNNNNNNNNNNNNNNNNNNNNNNNNNNNNUUUAAAAAUCUCAAAAUAGAUAUUAGAUUAGUUGUUACAGUAACUUUAAUUUGAGACAUACAAGAAACCUUAGUAGAUCAACAAGAAGAAAAAAAGAAUGCGUAAGAGAGUAAUCUUCCGAAUGGAAAAAAAUUCAAGCUUUGCCAUCUACAUCUAUUAGAGCACAUCCCUUUGAGAGAGAGAAACCAGAUGAUGCUGGAUAACCUCUGUAGCUGACAGCAGAUGGAUUGAGAAUUGAAGCAAACAAUUUUGACACCCACACUCAUUGGUUUCCCAAUUCUGCAUCUCUGCAAGAAGACUCAAUGUGCACUUACAUGUGCAGCUAUGUUGUAAAGUAUGCUGUGAAUUAUGUCCUCACAGCUCAGAAGGGCCACUGAGAAUUAUUAUGAGGACAAAUGUGAGCAAGAGUUGAGUCCUUCAACAUCACCUGCCAUAACCAGAAAGUGCUUCAAGGAUUGCCAUCCAAGAAAAAAAUGGUCAAUCCUCAUUCAUCCCAAAGGAUAAAAAGGGGUGAAGGUGGAGUUGAUGGGCAAAAAUCAUGGCAUGGCAGAGACUUUCAUGUUGGGGGCACACACCUCAGUGAUCACUCACAAACAGUACCCUCAGUAGAAAGAGCAGCAAAUAGCUCUUUUCCAUUUGCCAAAAGAAUCAACUCCUCCUUGCACAGCAAAUAUUUGUUUGGAUACACAUGAAUGAAUUAUGUUACAAGGAAAACUAUGGAAUAGUACAAUAAUCCUCUCAUGAAUAUUUCUUUUAAUGUCCACUCCCCAUCAAGGAGUCACACAACAACCAGCCCUAGGCACUAGAUUGAACCAUACUGAGUACUAACACCAAGUAAAUUGGUAAUUGUUUCCUGGUGUAGGAGGCCUGCAGAUGACAAUAAGAACAAGAAGGACACCUUGAAUGAUCACAAUGAAAAAAGAGUUAGGUUGAAACCAACAAAGAACCAUGCAAAGUAUGAAGGUCAAGUCACUCAAUGGAGGGCCCAUGACCUCCACUAAAUGGAACAGGAAUCCUAUGAAGUAUUACAAGCUUAACAAUCUCAAAACACAUUCCAAGAUCACCACCAUUUGCAUGAGGGAACUUUGAUUGAUUGCACCUUUUGGCCCCUGUUGACCCAUAGCAACUUAAAAAACACCAUGUAUGAAAAUGGUUAGUGUGGCUCAAGGAGAAGGAACCAUGCUUUGUGUCACUCAUAAUCAAAUCAAAUUGAAUAAUGCAGUAAAAGGAAAAUAUGAAUUAGUUUCUUCUAUUAAAGUCCUACAGAUUUUAUGAACCUAAUGGCAGGGUGGACAAGCCAAAUUAAGUUGACCUAAAUACAUAAUACAACUAGGACCAUUUCAUGCAAUUAUUAGGCACAUCAAAGUAAGACCUCAGAAAUGGUCCUGAUUUCAUGUGCCACUGUGCCAGAAAUCUGGUGCUCAUUGAGAGUAGGAGAGAACAAAAUCUGAGGCUUACCUUGCAAAGAUAAACUUUUGAGUGUGAUUCAAUCAUAGUUCCAAAUCUUGUCUCUUUCACAUACUUGACAACAAAGGUAUGAGAGUAAUUUUAGGUUAUGUAAAGAAAAUUGUCUUUCUUCUUCUAACUUUGGCUAAUAAAUCAAAUGCUAAUGGAACUUGUGGCAAAGUUGUUUUUGGUGGUUGGGAGUUGCUAUCAGUUUGGUUUGUAUUGGGAUGUGUGGAGGAACAAGGAGGGUUAAAGGGAUAAGGUGACAUAGAAGACAUGGAGAGCAUUGUUUCUGGGCUCUGUAAGCUGAUUUGGGACGAGGUGCAUUUUGGCUAAGAUCAAGGUUGGAUUGGAAGCUUAUGAGUUGUGUGAUGACUGUGACAUCAAGCAUCUAUGUAAUUUGCUGGCACAACCACCAAAUUUUCCCCCUCAUGAUUUCCAGAGGCUCAAACUAAUUUAUCACCACAAACUUUCCUGUCCUAGUCCUUCUCUUUCUAUCUCUCUCUGCACACACAAGAGCACAUCAUGCUUGUUAAUGGAAUUUAAUAUGCAAAGCCAGUGAAGCCUGUAUUUAUUGAGUGGACAGUGGCAUUUUGCUUGAUCCUAGGGUGUACUGACAAGAUGAGCUUUUUUUUCAUUUUUAUUUUUUGCCAACAAAAAAAAAAUCACAAGGUUUAGGGUGUAUGUACAAUUAAAGGAAAAAAAGAUCAAUGAAAAGUAGGUUAUUUGGAUGAAGUCAAUGAAUUUAAGAGUUUUUUCUACAACUCAUGACAAUUAUGCAACUGGCAAAAUGCCAAGGACACUCCUGCAUAAGUUGAGAGAGGCAAUAAUAGCAGUUCUCUCCUCAAAGGAAUUAUGAUAGGCUGCACUCAAUAUGGUUUGUCCAUUCCAAAGCAUAUGACCACAUUCAUCAGUCCCUAAAUAUACCGAAUUAUAGUGAUUCCAAAAGUGCAAGUUUUAGAUGCUGAUAAAAGGAAUUACAGGAAUAAAGGGAAUAAAACAAAACUAAAGGCAGGCAAAAGAGAUUCAAGAAAAGGAUCUGGAAUAAAGCAAUUGAGUAAAGUGAGACAGUGAAGAAUGAAACAAAUACCAAGUGUAAAUUGUCAAUGGAAAUUAGUCAAGCAGUGUGUUGUGGUAAAAUUCCACCUUAGAAAGUGUUCAUGUCCUCUUCUGACUUGAUCUCUUAAAAAAAAAAGUGAAUUCUGAUGAGGAAUAUUGCUCAACAUUUGGCAGUCAUCUGGACAUAGAAAAGCUUAAAGAAUAAUGAACAAUAGGGACCAUGUUAUGCACCUCCUCCUGUUUUGCCCUUUUGUUCAGUGAGUGCAAAACUGGUCAGGUAAAGAAAAUAACAUGAGAUUCAUAUUAGGAGUGUCUUUAUUGGAAAACUUGAAUGCUUACAAGGAAGGACCCAGCAACCAAGUCAAAGACAGAUUCUAAACUGGAGCAACAUGGCUGCUAGUAAUCCAACAACAUAGUGCAGCUAAUCAUCAGAUGUCUUGAACAAAGAGAUGAAUUGACUCUCAAGUCCCAUCAUUCAUGAAUGGUUUAUUAUUUCCAUGCUGAUCAUAAGAUAAUGUGACCACUAUGCUAGUGAGAUGAUACAUGUUCUCCUCUUAAUAAAUAUUUGAAGCUCACAUCCUAAACUCCAUGUCUAAUGGUGCCUUAAUCCAUCCUUUUAAUCCUAUUACAAAUUUAGCUUUCCUCAUGUUCUUCAAAUUCAUAAUGUGGGGACAGGUUAUGUUCCAGGCUCUCUCACUGUGUGCCUCUCCUCCUCUGACAGCACAGUCAUCUCUCUCUCUCUCUCUCUCUCUCUCUCACAUCUGUCUCCAUCUAUGCCAUAAGCUUGUUUCCUGAUAGUGCAAGCAAAGCAAACACCCCACACUUUAUUUUUGUUUGGUCACAACCCCAUAAAACUUUCUCAUUUUUCCUGUGCCCUGUAAAAAAAAAAAAACCUGCUUUUCAUUAUCUUGUUCCAACAUUUGUGCUCACUCAGCACUGCUGUGAGCCCCUUAUUUUAGUUGUCUCACGACCCAACCCUGCAACCAAAACACUUCAUUUCCUUCCCUUCUGACUCCUUCCACACCUUUGGCUUUUCUUGCUCUUCCUCUUCUUCCAUCUAAGCUCCUCCUAAUGCCCUCUUCCUGCCAUGGAAAGCACAAUGGAGGAUACACUGAAUCUUCCCAUGGAGUAAUAGAAUAAGCUCCAUGCAUAUUUUCCUCCUGACCUCCGAGCCUUGACAAGAGGAUAUUACUUCUGGCUUUGGCCUUUCAACCAGCCUGCACCCUGCAGCUCAGAGAGAGAGAGAGAGAGAGAGAGAGAGAGAGGUGGGUUUGUUCUGUCCUACUUCUCAAGCAAUCUGCAUUGCUGCAUGACUCCAACAAUCAUGGGGGUAUGUCUAACUGUUUUCAUCAGUUGUACUUCGAGACAAUGAGGUGGUGACCUGAAUGCUAGGAGGAAAUCUCUAGGCAAUGCUGUUUUCCUCAUAGGGAGGAAGUGUGAUCUCCUCCAGGCAACAAGAGAUUCCUAAGGUGUCUUUUGUUUAAGGCUCAGGGCUUUACCUUCCUAGAUAAAGAGGUCAGUACUGGUCUUAAGAUUACAAUGACUACAUGGUCUUGUUGCAGUUCCGAAGCUCUUCCCUGUUAUUGUUCUUCUUCUUACAGAAAAGAGAAGAUCUCAAACUAGUCAUUUGGAACAAAUCGUCGAGUCCUAUUUUAAAUGUUUGCCUAAAUUAAACUGUUAAUCUCACUUUAUUCUAAUUUUCCUUUUUUUCCUUCUUUGUGUCUCCUCCAAUCUGUGUUUUUAGAACCCGGAUAAGGUUCUUUGGAACCUCAAAGCUUCUAUUUAGACUCCCAAGGAUUCCAAACCCAAAGCCUCAGCUCACAUCUCGAUCCUUGGGGUUGGGUAGCUCAAAUUCUGCUUCUCCUUCCUCUACUAAUUUUUUAUUUGGUUUCUUUUGUCCUUGGAACUUUUCCUUCUGGGAUUGAGGUCAAAAAGAACACAUAAAAGAAAGAAAGAGCACAAAGAUUGAGAGAGAAUGGAUCUUUCUGGUCAUGAAGGAGAGAUCCCAAUCCCAAUAACCAGUGCAUACGUUGGUGGCCAUGGCCAAACCAACAUGCGUGACACCCCCCCCAUCCACCACCCCUCCAAUGGCCCUCCUCCUCCGCCUCCUCCCCUACCCAUUGCCACCACAGAGGACCACCAGCGCCACCACCACGCUACCAACUCCCACAGCACCAAGAAAGGGGUGGCGGUGAGGUACAGGGAGUGCCUCAAGAACCAUGCAGCCUCCAUUGGUGGGAAUGCCACCGAUGGCUGCGGUGAGUUCAUGCCGAGUGGUGAGGAGGGAAGUCUGGAGGCCUUGAAGUGCUCUGCCUGCGGCUGCCACCGGAACUUCCACAGGAAAGAGACGGAAGGAGAGUCCUCAUGCGACUGCUUCCACCCCCUCAGGGGGAGGAAGGUGAUGGGUCAGAAGGGCCUCCUCCUCUCGGGAUCCGAUGCAUUCGGCUACGGCCCUGCGUGCAAUGGCCUCAUUCCAAGGGCAACCCCACACAGCAUGAUCAUGCCUCUGGGUGCCAUCCAGACCUCCGAGUCCGACGAGAUGGAAGGCGUGGGUGGAAUGAUGCCGAGGCCUCUCAUGGUGAAGAAGAGGUUCCGGACCAAGUUCACUCCUGAGCAGAAGGAGAAGAUGCUGAGCUUUGCCGAGAAGGUGGGCUGGAAGCUCCAGAAGCAGGAGGAGAGUGUGGUGCAGCAGUUCUGCCAGGAGAUCGGGGUGAAGAGGAGGGUCCUCAAGGUGUGGAUGCACAACAACAAGCACCACUUGGCAAAGAAGAACCCUCUCCAGCUUGAAUGACCAUUACCUCACUCUCAUUUCCAUGGAUUGUCUUCGUCAUUUCAUGAGCUUUUGUCUUCCUCGGACUUCAUCAAGCUUAGAUGUCAAUCCUUUCAGUGUUAUCCAUGCAUUGUCUUUACAUGAAGGCAGCAGACCUCAAGUUGUUAUCCUUCCUUGUUGCACCGCAGCAGCAGCAGCAGCAGCAGCAGAAGCUGGUUUCUGGGUUUUGGAUGCAUCACUUGGUGAGGCUAAACAUGCAUGCAUUCUCCUGUGACUUGUUUUGUGGCAAUUAAUUAGCAUUAAUGACCAUAAACCAUCUCCAUCUUCACCCUCAUCUGUCGUGGUUAAGAUUCACCAAGGUCACAGCAUUUACUAAAUCACAUGAUUUUAGCUUUGGCACCACUCUCCUGAAAUGAAUGCUUCCUGGGUUUCCUUGUGAGUUUGCUCAUUGACAAAGUUCGUGCACUGCAAUGAGGCAAAAAGUGCAGGUGAUACAGUGAAGCAGACUUCUUUUGUGUCAAUGCAAGCUGCUGCCAGUCAACUUUGAGCUUAAUAACUUGAAGCUUUGCUGUAUUUUAGAUGCAGGUCACAGUCUGGGAAGGAUUAGUGGACUCCAUCAUGCUCUUCCCAUGUUGUAGGAGUAGCCUGCAAAGGUUAGGUCUGGAUCAUAAGUUUCACUGCCACCAUAGGCUCUGUCUGGGUACACUGGAAGCCUACUACAGAAGGACCCAACAUAGGAGGGUCAGGCUCAUUUAGUGGCAUUUAUAUCAGAGUAUAUGCAAGCUUUGAUGGAAGCUGCUCCGUCGGAGAGACGGUGUUUCCCGGUCACCUAUCACAGCUUUGACCCCGACUUCAGCUCCAUUUAUGCUGAGAAAUCCACUCGAGUAUACUCAACAGAGCACAUAGCAUCCAAUAAUCAUGUAAAAUCACAAGUCAUUAUGCCUAACAUGACAGGAAGGGAGGACACUUCUCAGGUGCUUCAACUCUUAACUAUUCUUAGCAUCAUCCUUCUCAGGAAUGAGUCUCUGAUCUCGGCAGGUUCAUCUUGUUGCCAUGCAAAUGGCAGCAUUACUGGCUUCCAUCUCCAGAGGAAACAGAUUCAAAUGUUUGAUUUGUCUUGCAACUCUCUAUAUCUCUCUCUGUUCUUGCAUCAGUUCAACAACCAAGCAUGCAGAAGUGUAUGAUUUGUCUUAUGGAAGCUGUGCUCAUUCUGCACUCUUGUGGCUGGUGGGGAACUCAUGGCCUGAACAUCCUGCACUGCAAGAAUAAGAACAUAGGUCCCUCCCAUUCAGGGUUCAUGUUUGCAAAGUCCAGUAGCAGUAUUGGCCCAAAACAUAUUUGAUGAAGCCUAAAGGAGGUAGAAAAACAGGAUUCAAAUACUAUGUUGAGAGGCACAAAUGUAGGAUUCAAACUCAUGACCUAUUUUGAUAUCUUUGAUUGAACUACCAGUAGCUCCAGAAAUUGAAGUUAUGAAGAAAGAAUCCAAUCUAAAUUUAGCUCACUAUAUUAGGUGUGAAGUAUGACUAAUUCCCCAAGCCUGGAGAACCCCAAUGGAUUAGCUGAUCCCCUGUUCUUCACAUCCUGUGAGGUCAACUGUUAUUCUUUACUCAAUGAGAAGGGAUUGGAUCAAAUAGCAGAAAAUAUUUAUGUUGAUUUCUUGCAAAAUUACUCUUGUGGAGUGUAAUCAAUAAUCAUCAAUGAAGUGUUAUUCUUCAAUCUCAAUCAACUAAAUUGAUUGAAUAAAAAUAUGAGGACCUGAUGAUGAUAUAUUGUUAUCGACUUCUAUGAAAAAUUGUAUCCUUAAUUAAAUUCAUAAUAUUUAAAUAUUUUAGUUAGAGGUUUUCAUAAAAUCUUUUUUUAGGUAUAUUCUAUUUCUUCUCGUACCACUAAUACUAAUUAUUUUAAUACCUUUAAAUAUAAAUUCUACCGGCCUCCUCAUAUCCGCACCAUGUUAAAUAAUUAUUCCUUAUUUUAUUCUCCAUCAAACUACACUUAAUUAUUCAGAAAUGUGAUUUUUCUUUUUUUUAUAGUUAUAUAUAAAACUAAAAUUAUUUUUGUUAUAUAAAAAAUUUAUUUUAAUUUUCUUAAAAUAUCUGUCAAAUUAGUUAUUUAUUAAGCUGUUGAAAUGAUCAGAUACAUCAUUUGAAAUAUUUGAUCGUUUAAGUUAUUUUAUUUUUCUGAUAGGUUCGAAAUCGAAUCAGAAUCGUCGAUUUUGAUAGUGAUUUGAAAUCCUAAGAACUAAAAUCGAAUGGUCCGAACUCGAUUUUGGUUCAGUUCGAAACCACUGAACCGCUAGACUCGAUUGAGCUCCGGUUCGAGUUUGGGUAGAGUCGAACCGUGGUUGGGCUGCUCGAUGAACCCGUUCUGCGUUCACGGGAAGUCAACAAUUCUUUCGCACAGGAGGACUCUUUGGUAAUUUUCUACAGAAAGGGGGAAAUCAUCCUAUUUUGUAUGAAAUAAAGUAUUAAUAUAUUAUAUAUUCAGCUACUAAAACCCAUCUGCCUCUUCUUCUUCAAGACUCAAAAAGGUUCCGAUAGCUCUGUCCUCCUCGCAGACUUCGCCGACUGAAGAGUAGGGAAAGGCGACGAGGGAGACGGAGCUGGGGAAGGGAUAGAGAUGGUGGGGAGGAGAUCGAAGCCGGCGAAGGGAAAGGAGAAGGGCUUCGCGUGGAAGCUUCCGGUCGUCAAAACCGAGGACCUCGGCAAGCUCGGCCCUGGUCUCAGCUUCGGCGCCGGCUGCGGUGUGGGCGUCGGUAUCGGCCUCUUUGGAGGUUCCUUCUCCUCUCUCUCUCUCUCUCUCUCUCUCUCUCUCUCUCNNNNNNNNNNNNNNNNNNNNGUCUCUCUCUCUCUCUCUCUCUCUCUCUCUCUCUCUCACACACACACACACACACACACACACACACCUUCUUUGUUUUGAUGAUUAGGAACUCCGUUGAUUGGGCCGUAAACUUGGUACCUUUUAUCUCCUUAUUGUGUUUUCUUCAUGGGUUUUGGAGAUUUAUACUGGUAUGUGGAUCCAUUUUUUUUCUUGGUUCUUCUACGGCUGCUUGUUUCUAACUGAGUUAAGCAUCGAGGUGUGGUGUUAGUGUUGUGACUUAGGAAGGGAAAAUGUGGGGAUUUGUCUUUUUCCUUCAAGAAAAUGAGAAUCGGUUCUGAGGAACUGAUUCGAAAUACAUUAGCUAGAUGAGAACCGAAAGUAUGUGGAUCGAAUUUUUAGGGGAAGUCUUUGAUAUGAGUUUGACAAUUACUCUAGUCUUGAGUAUAUAAAAGAUCAAUGCAUGUGUUUGUUUAAGAAAUGGAGAGGAAAUUAUUUGGAUUUUACCUUUUCUCUUCUCUACAUCGAUUAUGCGAAGCAUGAUGAGAUCAUGUAUUAGUAUGAUACUUUGAAUUUGAGUCUUUUUUGUUAAAAGAUCAGGACAUAGGGUUUUAUGCUUGUUUGAUAUUUUUGUGGCAGCUAUGGGGUGCCCACAUUUCAUUGCUGCUAACAUUCUACGGUCAAAUGUGUUAUGGCCUAAUGGCCACGAUCAAUUGUGGUUAGAGCUUCAUCAAUUAUUUAUUACGUUCAAUUUGGUUUAUAACAAAAAAGGUCUUUGAGUUAAAAUUGUUGGAUUAAGCUCUGAAUUGUAGGUAUUUGUUGUUUGAAAUUGAAUUGACCUAGCCUUAUUUUAGGUAUUUCUUGCUGUGUCAGAACAUGCUUCUAAAAGUUGGAGUUUGCAUAUUGUUGGUUGCAUUUAAUAUAGGAAGAUGGGCACAACUUUCUGUUAGAGCCCAUACACCCCUGCAGCCAAAAGGGGAGGAACUAGUUCUAUAUAUAAGAAUGUAAGGUUUCAUUGUUAAAACUAGAUGCCGAAAAGGUGGUUGUCCCAAUUGUAUUUACUGUCUUGAGCUGCUAUUCAUGGUGAAACAAAAACAAAAUAGUGUUUGUUUUUCACAUGGGAUAAGGAGCAGUGUUCUCUAGCAAUGCUAACUUUGUUAUAAAUUAUGUGAUUUUUAGAUUAAACAAGCAUGUUCGAACUUGCUCCUUUAGCUGCCAUGAGUACAUUUAAGAGGCAGAUUGUUUAUUAACUGAAGAAAGCAAAGAGUAACAAGGAUAUAUUCCGAUUAUCAUAAUGUUCUUAGAUGUAUAGCUGAUUCAUGUAUAUCUUCUACAACAAAAGUUGAAGGCUUUUCAUUGUUACAAAGUUGAACUUUGAAAUGCAUAGGUUGAUGCUUCUCGCUACAUUCAUUCAUUGGUUGAGGUAACUGAUGACUAAUAUUGUCUUCUCGAAUUAUUUGACACAGGUGCAGGCCUAGGGGCCGGGUUUCCUGGCUUACAGUUUGGCAUUGGAGCUGGUGCCGGGUGUGGAAUAGGUUUAGGUUUUGGUUAUGGCAUGGGAAAAGGAGUUUCAUUUGAUGAGAAUGGAAAACACACAAAUGUGGGCAAGCUAUUCGAAGGAAAUCCCCCGUCUCGGUAAGGCCUACUCUUACAUGAAAUAUGUUCUUUCCAUGUAGGGUUGUUUGUUGGCCGUUGAUUAGGACAUAUUUCUCUCCUUUAUGUAAUAUUGUUGUUCAAGCAUAAUGGUCUAUUCCGAUUUGCUUCUAAGAUUUUCCUGACAGUUUAUAAUCAUUACGAGAAAGCUUAAUAUAGAAUGAAGAUAUUGCAUUUUAUUCAACUGAUGUAUCAUACAUAAAAAGUUUCUACUGCUAGCAGUAACAAUCUUAAGGAUGAUGUUGCUCCCUGAUGCAAUUAACAGUCACCUAUUCUCCUUGUUAAUCUUUGAUUUUGCUUUUCUUUAUUUUUCUUGGUGAUUUGGGUCAAAAAAUCUUCUUGAAUCUGAUCUUAAGGAAACCACAUCAGAGGGCAUGAAGACAUCUCAAGUUUAAAUAUCAAAGGGUCUAGAUGUUGGCUAGUUUCACUAAGCAUGUAAUCUAAACUAAAGGCAGCCUUAUGCAUGGGGUUCCUGCCAAUGCAAAAUGUGGGAAGGAUCAACGUAGCUUUAUCCCCAGUAAAUUGAGAAUUUUUUAUUAUUCAUCAUUUUUUUUCAAUAGGAUGACAUCUAAAAUAUCUAGUUCUACUUGCAUUUAGUCAGCAUUUGUGUUGUUUAGUUUUAUUUAUGAGCCUUCUUCAUAAUUUUCAAUCUGAUUUUUUAACUGCAUGGCAUUGCUAUAUAUAGUCAUCAAUAGUAUGACAUAUGCUUUUGAUCAUCACCAUCAAACUGUUGUAAUAUAUACUUUUGCCCUUGUUCCUUUGGUUUUCAGUGGUCAAAUUGGUGGUUUGAUUGAUGAGGCUGUAGUGACUGCCAAAAAUCUAGUUAAGGCUACUUCGCGGGAGAUUGAAAAAUGGAGGUGAAGAGAAUCUAAAGAAACCUGCUACUGCUAUUUCGGAAGAUCAUUUGCUUGCUGGGGCGUAGACUUAUCCAUGCAUGACUCUAGCUGUUUCUUUUUUUCGGGUUUUUGGUGUGUUUCAGUUAUAGCUUUUAAACUUCAUAUUUCUGUUGGUUAGAAUGUACCCUGUACAACUUCAGGCUUGCAGAUGAUAUUCUUUUGGUGAAGGGUCAGUAUUUUAGAUUGUUACAAGUAUUUACUCACUUUUUUAUCUAGUGAUAGUCUACAAAGGCAUAUCAGAUAGUGUGGUUGAUAAUCAUUUUCUUUGUUGAUUUGGUUCUUACUUUCAGCUGGUGCCAUUUUGUAUUGUGUCAAUUGACUCGAAUCUCAUCCAUUACCGAUGUCAACCAAAUUGCAGGUUGUCGGGCUGAUAUUUCUCAUUUCUUCAAUUCAUUAGUAGUUGGUAUGCAUUUUUACUAUCUUGUGGGCAGUCAUUAUGAAAGACCUUUCAGUUUCUUUUAUCUGAUGUGGUUAGCUUCUUUCUAGCAUAUAGGCAAAGAAUUGGGACAUGCUGACCAACAGUUCUACCAAGAUUUCAUCAUCCUCAUCUGUGAUUCAAACAUUUUUUUACUGACAUAGAUUAGUUAUAGAGCAGAAUUCAAAUCUUGCAACCAGCCUGACAUUCAUCAACUGGUUAAUUCCUUUUUCAUUUUGAAGAGGUCUCUGGUUUGAAUCGUUGUGUUGGUGGUGCCAAGUCUUUUACCAAAUGUUAUUCUCUAAGAGGGGGAUGGCUCUUUAUGUUAUCCUGAAGUUAGAAAACCAAAGAAAGCCUAGAAGGCUCCUAUGUCAAGCCAAUCCUGCAAUAUCAUAUCUCAAAAACUGGUGACAAGUGCUUAGUAAAUGACAAAUUACUGAACAGAGGAUUGCUAGAAGAUUAAAUGAUGGGGUGGGGUAAUUCUUAAAUCCUAUUUAGAUGAAAGGUUUAUUCAGAGGCUCUUCCACAUUUCAAGUUUAUAAUGUUGGUUUCAAGAACAUUUGUUGGACAUCAGCUCAGCUUCGUCUUCAAUCUAAUGAUGCUUUCUUUAUUUUUCUUGGUGCUGCUAUAGUCUCCUUUAAUGCAUUAUUAUUUUCCAGCCAACUUUGUGCAACCAUUUGGAAGUUGUAGUGUGCAUGGUACUCAUGUUAGUCCAACAAAACAAGGGAGAAUUGGCAAUUUCUUUUCCUCUGGUGCGUGAGGUUGUGCUCUUUUACAGUCAUUCCAUAAUAUAUGGAUCCACAAGGUUGUAGUGUAGUCCUAAGCUUUGUGUUGAAUUCAGCAUUGGUACCAUUUUUACUGGUUUUGCUGAUGAGUUGACUGUCUCUAAUGCUUCUGCCAGAGUAUUUAUUAUACAUGCUAAAGAUCUGACAACUAGCAAUAUUGCCUUCCUGUCUCACAGGGACCAAAUCCACUUUAUUUAGUGACUCUUAAAAUUGCAUUUAUCAAAUAGGUGACUAAUUUUUUCUCUUAAUUAUUUCUCAUUUUUUCCUUGCACCAAUGCAAAGCAUGACUUGGUUUGAUAAAAAAUUGGCAGGUGGGUCUUCAAGGCAACUGGUCUGGACCAGCACAUACAACACUCAGGACAAGUGUUUGAAUCAUGAAAUUAGCAUUCAUUCUUUGAAAAAAAAUGAAAACCAUCAUCCAAAAUCAUUAGAAGUUAUUAUUGUUAUCAGUAUCAUCAUUUGAAAAGAAUGUGAAAUAAGCUCUCAUUCUGCUUCUAUUUUGGAUGUGUAAUUAGACACAGCAAAAGUUAAAUCCUGUGCAAACAGAUAAUUAGUCACACUUGAGAAGAUAAAUACUGUGCAAAUAUUAACAUAAAAUCCCCAAAAGAAACUAGAUAACUUAUUGUUGUCUUUGCACAGUGAGUUCAUGAACAUCACAUGCUUUACAUGACUAAAUAAGUCUAUUGUCAUUUCAUCAUUAACAGCUUAAAAAUGUCUUGGUGAUUGUAAAGAGUAUAAAGAAUUAAGUACUCUUCUUGGUUCUUUAUCAAAAUUAAAAUUAUCUGUUGAAGAACCCAAGCUUUGUGCUUUAAAUAAUAUUGUUAUCACUACAAUUUCUAGAGAUUAUUUUUUUAGUAUCUUUAAUCAGCUUUUGUAUUUUAUGUGCCUUCUCCAUUAAUUUCUUUUCUUGCUUGCAGAAGUUGUUUGAUGCAGAUAUUAAUUAAACUCUGCUCACUGGAAAUUGUUUGAAAGGGUAUUUUCACUGCUUUCUUUAAUCUCAUAUGGCAAAUCUACACAUUCCUUCACAAAUGGUGAACAUAUGCUAACAUUUGUGCCUGCGCUUUCUACUGCACUUGAGUCUGUUCAGAUCUGAUUAAUAGUUAUUUUUAAUUACUGAUUGAUCAUUCAAUUUCAUCCCACAAAUAAUAAUAAUAAUAUUUGUUUUGAAUAAUUUUAGAAUCUUCGUUGAUUAUUCUUUACUUUCAACUUUUUUCUUUGCUGCUGAUUCAUGCAAAACAUUUGUGUAUUUUUGGACUCCUAAAUUUUUGCAUGUGUUCAACUAAGUUACUCUUAUGUGUAAUCCCGACGGCAGGCAUUUUUGUUCACCUGAAGACCUAGGAAGAUAGAUCGUCAUGCAUGCGUGCAUGAGAAUUGCAUAUCAAGUAAUGAAGAAAACCUAGCUAUUCUUCUCUGUUGACCAUGGAAUGCUUGACUUUCCCAAACUAUAUAAUUCUUUCACUUCAAACGAAAGGCAAAUUACUAGGAGACUUGCAGAGCAAGUGAUGGCAAUGCAUCAUGGCUUCCUGCCCAUUUCUAAUGCUAGUUCAUGCUAUUCUUUAUGUGAUUGGGUGAUAGCCAUAUUGCACCAAAACACUUGCAGAGCUCACCACUGAUUGACACCUUGUUUCACAUAGUUGAGGCUUGUGCUCUUUUAUAACACCAGUAAGUAGUGUCAUGAUCAAGGACAGAGCUGUUUGGUUUUUGCCCCCCACCAAAAAAAGUUCUUUUAUUAUCUUGCUCUAUUUUUUAAGCAGCUUCUCCUGUAACAACAUUUCAUUUCUUUAUGUGAAGCUGCAGAUUUGUAGAUCAAAAUCUAGUGAAUUGUCAUGUUCAGCUUCAUGGAAUGACUUGCCAAGUGGGAAAUGAGAGAGACCGACUCUGGUAUGGCUUAAAACAGUGGUGUGAAAGAUGCAUGAGAAGUUCCUGCUGUUUAGUAUAACAUUAUGCACAAAUCUAUUGGCCCAAACAAGCUUACUGAACUGCUGAGGAACUCAAUUAAAUUGCUUGGCAGGUAAGUUUCUAGUGCUCUAUUUGAUCUCAGAUUCAUCCCUGGAGGUCUGCUUGGUCUUAGGAUCACCAGACUAGAAGAAGCGAGUGCUAGAACAACUGACAUGUUUGCUGUAAACCUAAAUCUCCUAGUGCAGAUUUACUCAAGACACUAAACAUCUUGUGAUGAGAUAUGCAGGGAUCAGCAGCUGCAGCAUAUCCAAGCUUGGACGUCACAGAAACGUUGGAAGAGUGCAGCUCAAUCAAACAUGCUGUGCACCAUCAAUUUCCAGGAAGUCUAUCUCACAUGCUCUGCCCUAAUCCAUGGAGGUUCCUUCUCAAACCAUGCAAUCACAAGUCUAGUUUAUUUCCUCAUAAUUCUAUGAUGCAGAGGCACAAUUCUGUGGUCACCACGACUUCAGAAACUAAUAACCCAGCUCCUCGAACCAUCCAUCAUCCUUGAGCACCACCGUCGAGCAGCAAACCCUAAUAAAUACACCAUCUUGAUUUGAUCACUCCACUUGCCACUUGAGUUCCUAAGGUUGGAAUAAGCAGAACAUAUACUGUGAUCAUCCGGUGCUAAUUGUAUGGGAUGUGUUCAUUGACCAUGAGAUGUUUUCUUGUGCAUGUAGGUGGGAGGAAGAGUAAAUGCCUUGUUCGACUCCCAAGCCAAUCACAUGCACGUACGCAGCUAAAGCUCUUCCGGUGGGAUCUGAUGAGGAAGAUGGCACCUCUUAAUCAACCUUGCUUCGGGAUCAAUGAAGAGAGCUCAAAACUAGGUUUUUAUUCUUCUCCUCGGGAUCGUUAACCCAUUUAGAAUAUGCAGCAGCAGCCAGUAAAGAAACAUUUGUUGCAUCAAAGCCUCAUGCCCUUGACUUGUUUUCUACGGUAUCAGCUUUAUCCAAGUCCACCGGCGUAGCUGCCGGCGUCAACCUUUUCUUUUGGCAGCCACGAGGUAUUUAAGCCCACCUGCACCCCCCCUACGUCGAAACCUUUGUCCAAGUGCUUCUUCCUAAGCCAAGGUGAUGGCAUCGGCUGCGUCGUCGUCGUCCAGCACCGGAGUCCCGCCGGGGUUCCGGUUCCACCCCACGGACGAGGAGCUCCUGCUCUACUACCUCAAGAAGAAAGUCUCCUUCGAGAAGUUUGAGCUGGAGGUGAUCAGAGAGGUUGACUUGAACAACGUUGAGCCAUGGGACUUGCAAGGUGAAGUGUCUAAGUCUGUGUUGUGCUUUGCCAUUGUCCUCUCAGCAUUUGUGCGCUUGCUCGAACAGUAUCUAUCAUGCAUGUGGAGCUAAAGCUCUCAGCUUUCCUUGAUGCAGAGCGCUGCAGGAUCGGGUCUGCGCCUCAAGAUGAGUGGUACUUCUUCAGCCACAAGGAUCGCAAGUACCCCACCGGGUCGCGGACCAACCGCGCCACCGGCGCCGGAUUCUGGAAGGCUACCGGGCGCGACAAGUGCAUCCGGAACAGCUACGAGAGGAUCGGCAUGAGGAAGACGCUGGUGUUCUACCGCGGCCGCGCGCCCCACGGCCAGAAGACCGACUGGAUCAUGCACGAGUACCGGCUCGACGACUCCGACGACGCCCGGGGCGAAGCCGGCGGUGGCAGUGUAGGCUUUCCAUCUCUGCGGUUCAUGCUUGCCUGCUCUUCUCGCUCUGAUCUCCCUCUUCUUGUGUUGCAGGAUGAUGGAUGGGUGGUGUGCAGGGUCUUCAAGAAGAAGUGCUUCUUCAAGGGCAGCGGCGAAGGGAGCACGAGCCAAGCCAUGGAGAACCACAUGAGCGUCGCCGCCAGCCACGACCAGUCCCCGUCGCUGAGCUCUAACUACAUCCACCCAAAUCUCGGCCACCACCACCGCCACCUCCACCACCAC